rnacentral:lncRNA from 1 species
CUAUGAGCUGGGACAAAGAAGGCAGGGGUGCUAUCUCAUUCAACUUUGUAUCACCUGAGCUUAACUAACACCUGGCACAGAGAAGAAACAUAUUAAGGAUUUGCUGAGAGAAUAAGAUAGUAUAACUUGGUCUUAUAUCUAAGGUUUGAUUUUCUAGGAACCUAUAGUGAAUUUUAGGCUUGCUUUUCAGUUUUUGUAGCAGGGAUGUAGCACAGGUUUGGGACUCAGCACACCUAGUCUGAAAGCUGAUUUCUGUCACAGCAUGCAUGAGGGACAGUCUCUUCAGUUUAUUUAUACCUUAGUGCUGUGAUUCUCGAGCUUAUAGACACUGUGAGGACAGAAUUUUAGCUCUUUAAACAAAGGGGGGCAAAUAUACAGUGACCUCUAUCUAUGUAGGUAUUUAACUGAAAGGAAUUCCAGGGCCAAGUGUGUCUACUAUUAAAAGAAACGUACUUUUCUUACAAUGUAGUCCCUGAAUGCAAAUCAUGGUUUUAUCUGGUGGGCAACUGAAGAAACAGCAAUCUGAACUGAUAUGGGAGGCAGACCUCACUGUAACAGGAUUAGUGAGAAACAGUGUUUGUGGCUCUUAAUUGCUCAUUUUUUUUUUUUUAAUGGGGGAUGUUAGGGAUUUUCUAAGGGCAGGUUUAUCCAUAUGCAGAGUUGAUGUUAGGAUGUAAUACCACAAAGAUGUAAUUAACUCCUCUGUUUGUGGUCUCCAUGUUAAUUCACUCUCAUAAGAGGGUAUGCAGUGUGGUCACUAUUCUACCACCAUUUUUAAGAAAAAAUUUAAAACUAUUUUUUAUCUUCCAAAUUAAAUAUUUUGCUAUUUGAUAAGUUAACAAUGCAACAGAAAAUCAAUAUAACUUUUAUCUUUACCAGAAGCCAUAAAAGUCUAUCUAGGAAAAUUUCAGAUGUGUGAACAUGGCUUUAGAGAAGGAACUCAACUACAGACUAUAAGAAAUGUAAAACCAAGCCAGGUUCCUGUUGUGGUCCUUUAUUAUGACCUGGUGACCUAAGCUAGAGAAUCACAGCACUAAGGUAUAAGUAAACCAAAUAGCAUGCAUUGGCUUUAGUUCAGAAGGGGAUUUUUGUGCAGAAAAUAAAUUGAAAGUAGGGCCUCUGGCCAGCAUAAACAGAUAAGAAAAAAGUAUGAUUCCCUACGUCUCAAAAAUGACUCCUUCACACAUCCCACCAAUCAAAGAUCCAUUUGGAAUAACAGGUCUUCUAAAAGCUGCCAUAGAAGUUAAGCCUCCUACCACCUAUACUUCUGUGUGAAUUGAUUUAGUCUGGAGGCAUUUUGAUUGCUUUUCUCCUAACACCUAACUUAGAAGGUGAAAUAGAGGUCUUGUUUGGAGGGAAUUGAAGAAGGAAAAGGAAAGGGCAAUUUCAGAUCAAGGGAUAUGUUGGAAUGGUGGAAAAGUAGGAUCAUUAGGACAGCUGGGAACAGUCUUUUAGUUCUUGGAAGCCAGGAAAAAGAUGUAGAGAGAAGGGCAGAAGUGGUCAAGGCUCCAUGAAAAGGAGGAUGUAGCAGUCAAAUUGGAUGUCGACCAUGCAACAAUGACGUCAGGAACCCUGCUUGGUAUACCAUCUGUACCUGUCUGUACAGCUAUGAUCAUCCUGUAACUGCUGAUGCUGCCUCAUUGCUCUGCUCCAUUGCCUCACCCCAAGCUUUCAAAGUCAUCUCCUACUCUACUCCAGGAGUUUCACUCUUGUUGCCCAGGCUGGAGUACAAUGGCAUGAUCUCGGCUCACUGAAACCUCUGCCUCCUGGGUUCAUUCAAGCGAUUCUCCUGCCUCAGCCUCCUGAGUAGCUGGGAUUACAGGCAUGCACCACCACGCCCGGCUAAUUUUGUAUUUUUAGUGGAGAUGGGGUUUCUCUAUGUUGGUGAGGCUAGUCUCGAACUCCUGACCUCAGGUGAUCCACCUGCCUUGGCCUCCCAAAGUGCUGGGAUUACAGGCAUGGGCUACUGCGCCUGGCCUGUAUCUCCAAUUCUUUACAUAUGCCUGACGAACUGCUAUUCCAUCUUGUAGGGCUAAAAUCAAAUUUUUUUUCAUUUUUGGGAAGCCUCCUCUACAUACCUCCACCUUCUAACUCCAAGAAGUCAAACUUGCAGACAACAGAUCAUGGAACUUCUUGGCCUCCAUAAUCUCAUGAGCCAAUUUCUGUAAGUCUCUCUGUCUCUCUGGAGAACCUUGGCUAAUAUACACACACACCAUGAUUGAUAGUGGAUGCCCAAUAAAUGCAUUCCAAAAUAUAUGGAUGCCCAAUAAAUAUGUGUAAGUAUGAAUACUCAAUAAAUAAACAAAAAUGAAAGAAC